UAGGGAAUCUUCCGCAAUGGACGCAAGUCUGACGGAGCAACGCCGCGUGAGUGAAGAAGGAUUUCGGUUCGUAAAACUCUGUUGUUAGAGAAGAACAGCGCAUAGAGUAACUGUUAUGCGUGUGACGGUAUCUAACCAGAAAGCCACGGCUAACUACGUGCCAGCAGCCGCGGUAAUACGUAGGUGGCAAGCGUUGUCCGGAUUUAUUGGGCGUAAAGCGAGCGCAGGCGGUCAAUUAAGUCUGAUGUGAAAGCCCCCGGCUCAACCGGGGAGGGUCAUUGGAAACUGGUUGACUUGAGUGCAGAAGAGGAGGGUGGAAUUCCAUGUGUAGCGGUGAAAUGCUUAGAUAUAUGGAGGAACACCAGUGGCGAAGGCGACUCUCUGGUCUGUAACUGACGCUGAGGCUCGAAAGCGUGGGUAGCAAACAGG
rnacentral:rRNA from 1 species